rnacentral:misc_RNA from 1 species
AAAAAGAAAAAGGAUGCAUUGAUAAUCAUCAAUAAUGCAACACAAUUGAGUCAUACAAGUAAACCAAAUCCUCAAAUGAUAGGGUGUAACUUGAAGCAUUUGUCAUCAAACUACUUACAAACUGAGCUAAAUGGUUACUACAUUCAUUCCAUUAUUUGUGGAGAACACCGAAUUUCCAAAUCACCGGUCCUUGAAAGACUCAAAAUUUUUAGACGCAUCCUUCACCUGAUCGGCAAUUUCUUGCCUCUUUUGCUGAGCCAAUUUAGAUAGAUCCUCCAUUCUCUUUGAUGUCCUCACUGCAAAUCUUUGAAAACUAGGGCUGUUGGAGAGCCCAUUAACGAUCAAUUCAUUGGCGACAUAAGAGAUGACCCUAUGAAUGAAAUUUCCUCCACCAGCCAUGGCUGAGAUUGGACAACUGGUAAACGAGAUAUGGCCA